CCUCUCCACAGAUAUUGGCGUCUAUGGGGACGGCAAUAUCCGCGUGGUCCUAGCACCAACUCUAGGCUAAAGUUGGUGCUGGCCGCACUCGGAACCUCCGGACGGAAAACUUCAGAGAGUUUGAACCAGCAAGUGAGAACCCGGCCGUACAACACAGAGAUCCGCUCCAACACUACCAUAUAUGUGUGAAAAGAUAUAACUCACCGCUUUGCAGAUUUUGCCCUUACUGUAUCCGCAGUCAACUCCUUGUCUUCAUUGUUAAUCUGAACGCUUUUAUCCACAGCUCGGAUCGAGCACCAAGAUCUGGCUGAGGCUCCGAUGUGGAGACUGAGCUCAGCUUUUGGGCUGGCUUCUGUCCGGGCAAACUUCAACCAGGCCUGCCAGAGAAGAAGACAACAGGCAUGAAGGGUGAUUAACCAACCGCAUCGAGCCUGGCUAUUUCUUCACAUGACCAUGAUCGGAACCUCCAACAGUGAGCGGACACAGAGGAGAGAGCGCUUCAGUACACCGUUUUUUUCUCCCUGAGAACUAGUGUCUCGGGAACCUUUACCAUCUCUGUGAUGUAUUAAGGAAUAAAGAAAUCAUCUUUUGUUACGGUUUACCUGAGCUGGUAUUGCCUACCUGUGGCCUCUGACACAGACGCACUUAUCUCAACACUGUAAGAAAUAUAACUAGGAUUUCUGAGUUGCAACUCAUUCCCAUCUACCAUAGUCUGGAAGCAGCCGGUG